UACGUAGGGUGCAAGCGUUGUCCGGAAUUAUUGGGCGUAAAGAGCUCGUAGGCGGUUUGUCGCGUCUGCUGUGAAAACCCGAGGCUCAACCUCGGGCCUGCAGUGGGUACGGGCGGGCUAGAGUGCGGUAGGGGGAGACUGGAAUUCCUGGUGUAGCGGUGAAAUGCGCAGAUAUCAGGAGGAACACCGGUGGCGAAGGCGGGUCUCUGGGCCGAUACUGACGCUGAGGAGCGAAAGCAUGGGGAGCGAACAGG
rnacentral:rRNA from 1 species